UUCCCUGUCCAAUCCACUCCCUGAGGGCAGGCUCCAAGCAUGACAAUCAGGGUCUCGACACCCCAAGGGGAGAACAAAAGGUUUAACACACACCCCCCAUAAGCAGUUAAACCAACGGAUUGCAUGCUGUGUUAUCGUACAAUGAACGUAUAGCAAGUAAGAUCUUUACGAAAGCUUGGAAUACACUGAACUGAACAGUCGUUACGGUAAUGAAUGCAUGUGGAAAAUUGUAGUUUUAAACGUGGUGCAACUUCGGCAGCAUCUCACAGCCAGACGAGGGCGGCGCCAAACACUUAGCCAUUGUCCAGCCCAGGAAAAAAAGCAAUGAGGAACUAUGCAAGCAAACAGAAACAGCUCAAAGCUGCAAAGAAAACCCCAGUGUUUGGGAACGAAGGGCUGGUCAAUACUGGAAACGUACAUUGGCCUAGCUGCGUCUCUCAGGGAUGUUAAAAACCCACCCCCCCGAGAAAUGUAGCUACGCCAACCUAACCCCUGGUGUAGACAGCACUAGAUGGACAGAAGAAUUCUUCCGUCAACCUAGUCUCCAUCUCUCAGGGAGGUGGAUUAACUUACAGCGAUGGCAGAACCCUUCCGGCUGCUGUUUUUCACCCCAAGCAGGUCUCUGUUGCACAAACUGCAUGGAAAGAAAACAGGAGUACUUGUGCAUGGAGUGUCUGUGCCGAAGCAAGCUGAUAACAGGAGGGCUGCACAGACGAUGAACCAGAGGGGAACGGGCUGAGCGUCUGAUGGGGAAACUGAGGCACAGCGUGGUCAUUGGCUGGAAAUCUCUGCGUCUUGCCAGAAAGCUCAAGACAACACCCUCUCUGGUAGGGAGGGCACACGGAUAGGCAAGCAAGGAGAAGGGGAGGGAGAGGACAUCUACAGAACUCUCGGCUUCAAGGAGGAUCAGCACGUGGGCUUCGUGGUGGGACAGCUGGAGGUAGAUCAUCAUUAGCAGCAAUUGGAGCUUGUGAUGUGCAUGCAGCAUUUGCCAAGAACUCAGUACCUGUCAAACUGCACUGCACCGCCAACAGGCUGCUUUCAUCCACCUGGGCUGCCCUUGCCGGGUUGUUAUGAACUUACUGGAUCACGCUUUGAAAUAUACCGGUGCCGUAUCGCAUCGUUGAUCAGCAAACACAUCGGCGUGCGCCACCGCUGCUUUGGUACCACACUGAGAGUGCGCAUACAAUAUCCCCUUCUCCUCCGAGUCCGCAGAGCAAACUCAGCUCAGGAAGGGAGACUGAAUGCAGGAGACGCAAAAAGAAUUGUUCCCCUGGGGAUCAUUUCACUCUAGCCAGGGGAAACGUUCUGGGAAACCCAAGGCCCCUGGGUGCUGUACCAGUAAGUCCCAACAAGGGGCUGGUAGGUUGUGAGUCACCUAAGGCUGACUUGUCACUGCACUUCCCAAGCACCCCCACAUGGGCCAAACUGAGGAGACGAUCAGUUACGGACCGGAUGAUUAAACAGCUGCACAGGAGGUUCAGCUUGUUAAACGCAAGACAGGGGGGCAAGGGAGGCUGGGAGGAAGCGCCAGAGAUGCCCCGGAUCGCCAAGCAAUGAGAUCUCUUCCCCCUGCGCUGAGGGAGAAGGUAAAAGCCUUAUGCUCCGGAGAACAAGCACUUGUGUAGCACAUUGGGAAUGACGCACAUGGCAUUGGACCUACGCAGGAGUGCGUGAGGCCUGUUUGCCGCGAGGCGUCCUGGGGGAGGGAACCCUGCCCUGUGACAUAGAGAACCUGCAUUCUCAAAGGAGCAGUUUCAUUGAUGUCAGCGGCAUGACAUCCUGGAGCACCUGCACAUCAGUGUGAUUAAGGGUCCCCCACCAGGGCCAAAAUCCCAUAGCCUCCUAGCAGUGAUGGGUCAUCAUCCAGGAUGAAAAGAGCCUCCGCCUGCAGGCAGAGAGGAUACGUGAGGCCUUUGGCAAUGCUGUGGAAUGGGAAAGGGUUACUUCAUCUCCAGCAUGACAUGAUCUACUGUGAGAAGGUACAAGCUUUACAGUCAUGUAUUAAUAGUCACCCCUCCAGCACCUUAGGGUCUGUCUUCACCGCAGUUAGCGCAAGUUAGACUCACUUGAGUGACUCCUCUCCGGUCAGCCUCGCUCGCCUGAGAAUGGCCUGGCCGCAAGAGAACACUGGGGCUGCUGGCUCCUCCCUCGGGGGUGCUGCUGAGAUUUCUGGGAGCCCACCCCAUGGUUUUUUGCGCUGCACUCUGCUGAGCCGCUCCAGGCACUCUUUCCCAGUGAACUGUGGGAGAAUUUGUCUGUCGUGUCUGGGCAUACCGGAGGAAUUAUGGGAAGGCACUGGAGGACUUGUAACUCUCAAGUGGAGCUAGCCUGCAUCCACGCUGCAGGGUGGCCGUGUUAGCAGCUGAUGAGUUGUGCUAACUCGAGCUGUAGCCGAUGGACCAGCCAACUCAAGGGAA